CAUUUACUCGUUUAAUCGACUACACCAGGGGUGGCCAACCCAUUCUGGACGAAGAGCCAAGAUCCAGCUGGAUCCAGCGCAAAGAGCCGGGGCAAUAAGUUGAGGAGAGAAAAAGGACUGGCCCUUUAAGAAGUCUUUUUAAGGCUUUUUGGCCUCAGCAGACUCCCAGCAGCAGCCGCCAUAUUGGAUCUGCCAUUUUGAUCCGGACGGCUCCCUUGCCCCGUUCCGCCCACAUAUAUCCAGGAUCCUCCUGCUCAGCCAUGGGCGGAGCUUCAGCAACGAGUGGCACUUCUGCAAGGUUCACAGUGAUAUAACGGAGAGAGAAUUUGCCCUGUGAUCAUUCUUUAAAUAGGAGGCUAUAAAAAGAUUUCAGCCUUAACUAAUGACUUCAAGGUGCCGCACAAAACUAUUUUACUGCACUUCCAGGAGUUGGAGAGAAAUGUGAAAUUAAAUUUGUAAAUAAAGAAACCAUUAAAUAAAGCCUUGCAUUACUGAUUACUCAAUGGACUCUGUGUGUAUGCAUAAAUAUAGUUCAGAUUGACAGUAAAGUGACAUAGUUUAAUUUAUGGAUGUCAUAUAGUAACAGAAGUUUGCACCAAAAGGAUUGUUCUAUCUAAAUUAACUCUCCAGUGUUCAUGAAACUGGAUACACUGAUAAUAUGCUUCGAUCUGCAUAAUGAGAGGCAAAUACACAUUUAGAACACUAGUCGCUC